GCUACUUACCGCGUUAUCUUGGCGUCUCUUCGGUUGAGAGGCUUUUUUGCGGCAACGACGAACUCUUCCUUCGAAUUAGGAAUGUAGUCAUCGGUGUUAAGGGAUGUGAUCCCAGUAUCUAAAUUUAGUAGUAGCUAGUCAGUCGUUGUAAUUAGGCAACAAAUAAUGUUUUAGUUUACAUUUUAUUAAUUUUUUCUUCCUAAAUCAUGGUUUCUUCCGCGUCAUCCCGCGCUAUUCUCGGUCCGCGCCUUUCGGAUGUCGGCGCGAGACAUCUCCUGAGCCCUGGAGCUACACCCUGUUUGAGUCCGAGGGCGACUCACUGGUGCAGUAGAUGGAGCUCCACGAGGCCGAGCAAGGAACGCGGCCAUCCCUCUGCGACCAGAAGCUGCGCGCGGCCGCCGCGUGGCGCUGCGUCACCUCCAGCAUGGCGCGACCCUCCCGCCGGAGUCCAUCCGCCGCCACUGGCCGGGCCCGCAGGCUCGCUCAUCAGCGCCGCCGUGACGUCACGCGCCGCCAAUUGCCCGCCCACCCGGCCGCCGGGGUCGCUGGACCGCUCCCACUACACCCACCCCUUCCUCACUCCCCGCCUGCUUGCCCGGUGCACCACGUCCUGUCAGCAUGCUCGACCAUCCCACUGGUGGUGUGUCUUCCACAUGUCUUCGACUCUAUGCACAUGCGUGUCAUGUCUACGUGCCCGCAUGUCUGUAUAUCCACCUGGUUGCGUGUCCAAUACAAGUCUGCGACUCUAUGCACAUGUGUUCUGUCUGCUUGUCUGCACAUCCACCUGGUUGUGUGUUCUCCUCAAGUCUGCGACUCUAUGUACCUGCCUCACGACCAACACCGAGCUCCAGUACGCCACUGUGGUUGGUAUAGUCUGUCGCACGCUGCGACUGCAGCACAGAGUAAAUGGAGACCACUGUACCCAGAUUGAUACCUGUGUUGUUCAAAUAAAAAAUAAUUAUUUUUUA